UACAAAGGACACUGCAGCUGACUUAUAAAGU
rnacentral:piRNA from 1 species